AUUGAACGCUGGCGGAAUGCUUUACACAUGCAAGUCGAACGGCAGCACGGGGGCAACCCUGGUGGCGAGUGGCGAACGGGUGAGUAAUACAUCGGAACGUGCCCAGUCGUGGGGGAUAACGUAGCGAAAGCUACGCUAAUACCGCAUACGAUCUAUGGAUGAAAGCGGGGGACCGUAAGGCCUCGCGCGAUUGGAGCGGCCGAUGGCAGAUUAGGUAGUUGGUGGGGUAAAGGCUCACCAAGCCUGCGAUCUGUAGCUGGUCUGAGAGGACGACCAGCCACACUGGGACUGAGACACGGCCCAGACUCCUACGGGAGGCAGCAGUGGGGAAUUUUGGACAAUGGGCGCAAGCCUGAUCCAGCCAUUCCGCGUGCAGGAUGAAGGCCUUCGGGUUGUAAACUGCUUUUGUACGGAACGAAAAGGCUCUUUCUAAUACAGUGGGCUCAUGACGGUACCGUAAGAAUAAGCACCGGCUAACUACGUGCCAGCCGCCGCCGUAAUAC
rnacentral:rRNA from 1 species